AGCAAACGCUGGCGGCAGGCCUAACACAUGCAAGUCGAACGAAGUCUUCGGACUUAGUGGCGGACGGGUGAGUAACACGUGGGAACGUACCUUUUGGUUCGGAACAACUCAGGGAAACUUGAGCUAAUAACGGAUGAGCCCUUAGGGGGAAAGAUUUAUCGCCGAAAGAGCGGCCCGCGUUAGAUUAGCUAGUUGGUGAGGUAAAGGCUCACCAAGGCUACGAUCUAUAGCUGGUCUGAGAGGAUGAUCAGCCACACUGGGACUGAGACACGGCCCAGACUCCUACGGGAGGCAGCAGUGGGGAAUCUUGCGCAAUGGUCGAAAGCCUGACGCAGCCAUGCCGCGUGAAUGAUGAAGGUCUUAGGAUUGUAAAAUUCUUUUACCAGGGACGAUAAUGACGGUACCUGGAGAAAAAGCCCCGGCUAACUUCGUGCCAGCCGCCGCGGUAA
rnacentral:rRNA from 1 species